rnacentral:rRNA from 1 species
GUAGCGAAAUUCCUUGUCGGGUAAGUUCCGACCUGCACGAAUGGCGUAACGACGGCCACACUGUCUCCACCCGAGACUCAGUGAAAUUGAAAUCGCUGUUAAGAUGCAGUGUAUCCGCGGCUAGACGGAAAGACCCCGUGAACCUUUACUAUAGCUUCACAGUGAACUUUGAACCUAUUUGUGUAGGAUAGGUGGGAGGCUUUGAAACUGGGACGCUAGUCUCAGUGGAGCCAAACUUGAAAUACCACCCUGGUAUGUUUGAGGUUCUAACUCAGGUCCGUAAUCCGGAUCGAGGACACUGUGUGGUGGGUAGUUUGACUGGGGCGGUCUCCUCCCAAAGAGUAACGGAGGAGCACGAAGGUAUGCUAAUCAUGGUCGGAAAUCAUGAGGUUAGUGCAAUGGCAUAAGCAUGCUUAACUGCGAGACAGACACGUCGAGCAGAUACGAAAGUAGGUCAUAGUGAUCCGGUGGUUCUGAAUGGAAGGGCCAUCGCUCAACGGAUAAAAGGUACUCCGGGGAUAACAGGCUGAUACCGCCCAAGAGUUCACAUCGACGGCGGUGUUUGGCACCUCGAUGUCGGCUCAUCACAUCCUGGGGCUGAAGCCGGUCCCAAGGGUAUGGCUGUUCGCCAUUUAAAGUGGUACGCGAGCUGGGUUUAGAACGUCGUGAGACAGUUCGGUCCCUAUCUGCCGUGGACGUUUGAGAUUUGAGAAGAGUUGCUCCUAGUACGAGAGGACCGGAGUGAACGAACCUCUGGUGUUCCGGUUGUCACGCCAGUGGCAUUGCCGGGUAGCUACGUUCGGACAGGAUAACCGCUGAAAGCAUCUAAGCGGGAAGCCCCCUUCAAGAUGAGAUCUCACAGGACUUUAAGUCCCUAAAGAGCCGUUCAAGACUAGGACGUUGAUAGGUUGGGUGUGUAAGCACGGUAACGUGUUGAGCUAACCAAUACUAAUUGCUCGUGAGGCUUGACCAU